GAGGAAGAGGGUGGAGCAAGAGCAGGUCUAGUACUUUCAGGACGGGCUGGUUGGGGAGGUGGACCUUCAUCCUCCUCUUCAGUCUCUCUGUGCUUCCUAUGUUCCCUAUCCUUCUUCUUCUCUUUCUCCUUCUCACGAUCAUGCGACUUGCUAUGACUAUGGCCAUGAUCAUGGCUUUGCUUCUGUGUAUCCUUUUUCCUU